rnacentral:lncRNA from 1 species
UGGAAAGAAUGAAUAAAAACAAGCAAUAUGGUUACUACAAUCCUAUGCAAUUUCCCCUGGUACCAUCAGAGUGAAGGACAAAGAGCAUUCUGUAUCAUCAAAUGCUUGUUCCAGAGGAGUGUGAAUUUAUUUUGGAUUUUCUUUAAAAUGCCAGAAGUCUUUCCUUUUGAAUGAAGACCAAAAUGGUUAAUGUGGCCAUUGAGGUAGGAUGACAGCUUCCAGCCCAACCUCAUUUUAUACCAUGUUGCUCCAUUCCUUAUAGAUGGUAAGCAUUCCUGCCCUUGGGCCACCCAUUUCCUCUUAAGGUCAGAGUCCAUGCUUGGCUAUAUAAGGCUAAUGAAUGUGUGAUUGUGUUUUGAGCACAUUCAGAGAUACGUGCUUCAUUUUGCAAUUGCUUCAUUCCUUGGGUUUCUCUGUAAAAAUCAGAUGUUCUUAUCCCUGUCAUUUCCCUCUCACUUCAUACUUUACUCUGAAGUUUAACAAAAAACACUCAAUAGCUUGACUACCUUAUUUAUAUAGAAUUUCAAAUGUUGGGAAAAUAAUUUUUGGACAAUUUUAGAAGCCAUGGAGGCCUAUCCAAACCCUUCCCCAUUGUUCAUGUGAUUAACAGUGAGAUGGGCCAAUAAAGGAUGUCCUUUAAGCCUCGGUCUAUCUGUAGAGGUAACCCUCUCACUUUAUUCUAUAGUCCUAGAGAUCAUAUGACUAGGGGUGGGGCUAGAAUAGAAAAAACAUUUUCCACUAGAGCUGGUAUACGGUAUUAAGAAAUAAAACAUAGACCCACUUUACGGGACUGAAAAUAGAGCAGGCACAUGGUGGAGUAUGGGAU